AGCGCUGCACCGGGCCGGGCCGGGCCGCAUCGCGCCGCGCCGGUUGAGCGGCGGCAGCGCAGCGCAGCGCAGCCCCGCCCCGCGCGGCCUCGCCGGCCGCCAUGUUCGCGGCGCCGCUGCGCCGGGCCGGCAGGUGUGUGUUUCUGAAGGGGAGCGUGACCAUGGCCACAGGGGGGAAAAGCAGCGAGCCCAGUGUCCCUCGUUACACCAACCGCCUGAUUAAUGAGAAGUCCCCCUACCUCCUCCAGCAUGCUCACAACCCCGUGGAUUGGUACCCUUGGGGCCACGAAGCCUUUGAUAAAGCAAAGAAAGAAAACAAGCUGAUAUUUCUGUCAGUUGGCUACUCCACCUGCCACUGGUGCCAUGUGAUGGAGGAGGAAUCCUUCAAGAACAAGGAGAUCGGUGAGAUUAUGAACAAGAACUUUGUGUGCAUAAAAGUGGAUCGUGAGGAGCGGCCAGAUGUGGACAAAGUGUACAUGACCUUUGUGCAGGCAACCAGCGGUGGAGGUGGUUGGCCGAUGAGCGUCUGGCUGACUCCGGACCUCAAGCCCUUUGCAGGGGGGACGUACUUCCCUCCUGAAGAUAGAGUUUACCGCGUUGGCUUUCGGACUGUGCUGCUCCGAAUCGCAGAGCAGUGGAAGCACAACAAAGAUGCUCUGUUGGAGAACAGUCAGAAGAUCAUGGAAGCACUCCUAACCCAGGCUGAGAUCCAUGGCCAGGCCCAGGAGUCACCCCCACCAUCCGAAGAGGUGAUGGCCACGUGUUUCCAUCAGCUCUCCAAGUCCUAUGAUGAAGAGUAUGGCGGCUUUUCAGAGUUCCCAAAGUUCCCCACCCCAGUGAAUUUGAAUUUCCUCUUCACGUACUGGGCCCUGCACCGAACAACUCCAGAAGGGGCCCGGGCACUGCGGAUGGCCCUCCACACCCUCAAGAUGAUGGCCCAUGGGGGCAUUCACGACCACAUCGGUCAGGGGUUUCACCGCUACUCCACUGACCAGCACUGGCAUGUCCCUCACUUUGAGAAGAUGCUGUAUGACCAGGGACAGCUGGCAGCCGCAUAUACCAGAGCAUUUCAGAUCUCUGGUGACGAAUUCUUUGCUGAUGUCGCUGGAGAUAUUCUGCUCUACGUCUCCCGGGACCUGAGUGACCAGACCGGAGGUUUCUACAGCGCAGAGGAUGCGGACUCCUAUCCGACCGCCACGUCUGGAGAGAAGCGAGAAGGGGCGUUCUGCGUGUGGACAGCCGAGGAAAUCCGGGCCCUCCUUCCUGACCCUGUCGAGGGGGCUGCAGAAGGGACAACUCUGGGAGAUGUCUUCAUGCACCACUAUGGGGUGAAGGAGGGCGGCAACGUGAGCCCCAUGAAGGACCCGCAUAAGGAGCUGAAGGGCAAGAACGUCCUUAUUGUCCAGUCCUCCCUGGAGCUGACGGCAGCCCAGUUUGGGCUGGAGCUGGGGCGGCUCAGUGCCCUGCUGCGGGAGAGCCGGCAGAGGCUGUCUGCAGCUCGGGCCCAGCGGCCGCGGCCUCACCUGGACACCAAGAUGUUGGCAUCGUGGAACGGACUGAUGAUCUCAGGCUUUGCCCAGGCUGGGGCAGCCCUGGCCAAGGAGGAGUACGUGAGCCGGGCUGUGCAAGCGGCCAGCUUUCUGCGGAGACACCUUUUCGACCCCACUAGUGGGAGGCUGCUGCGGAGCUGCUACCGGGGCAAAGACAACACGGUGGAGCAGAGUGCCGUGCCCAUCCAAGGCUUCCUGGAGGAUUACGUCUUUGUCAUCCAGGCUCUCUUUGACCUGUACGAGGCCUCGCUGGACCAGGGCUGGCUGGAGUGGGCCUUGCAGCUCCAGCACACGCAAGACAAGCUCUUCUGGGAUCCCAAAGGCUUUGCGUAUUUCUCCAGCGAGGCCGGCGACCCCUCUCUGCUCCUCCGCCUGAAGGACGACCAAGACGGAGCAGAGCCCAGCGCCAACUCUGUCACUGUCACGAACCUGCUCCGAGCAGCCUGUUAUUCUGGCCACAUGGAGUGGGUGGAAAAAGCUGGGCGGAUCUUGGCUGCCUUCUCAGAGAGGUUGCUGAAGAUCCCGAUAGCCCUGCCAGAGAUGGCCCGCGCUAGCGCUGCCUUCCAUCACACCCUCAAACAGGUUGUUAUCUGUGGGGACCCGCAAGGACAAGACACGAAAGAUCUGCUUCGCUGCGUCCACUCUGUCUUCUGCCCAAACAAGGUGCUGAUGCUGGCCGACGGCGACACCACCGCCUUCCUCUACCGCCGGCUGCCCUUCCUGGCUUCCCUGGAGAGGAGGGACGGCAAAGCCACGGCCUACGUCUGCAGCAACUUCGCCUGCUCCCUGCCCAUCACCUCGCCCCGGGAGCUGCGCGGGAUGCUCGUCCCGUGAGCCAGCGCCGCCCUGGCCCCCCGCCGCCGGCAGCGGUGCCCACCACCCCAGCAGCUAUAAGAGCAGGGAGAUGGUGCACCUACACCAUGUUUGGGGCUGUUGGGCCUCCCCGCCGGGGCAGGGUUGCUCAGCAGGCCCCUAAGCUCUGCAGCUCCGGCGGGAGCAUCCCGGCUCCUGCUGCGCCCCGGAGGAGGAUGUUUGGCUCGAGGAGGCCGGCGCGGGUGGGUGAGAAGGAGGAUGCUGCCCAUAACGACGCAGAUCCCUUUGGCAGAGCAUAAACUCUGCUCUCCCUCCCGUCCCUCCUCCCCGUCUGCACGGCCGCUUGCCGUGCCGUCGAGCUGCCCCGAAAGGCGUCGGGCGCCUGGCCGGCGCGGUGCUGCGAGCGGGGAGCCUCGAGGUGCCGAGAGCUUGCCAGCGGCUCCGCCAGCGCCGGGGCGCCGGGCCAGGAGAGGAGCCUUUGAAGCCGCGCAGGAAUCUCGCACCUCAUCUCGGGAAUACUUUCUGCGCUGGUGGAAGAGGAGAGUUUCUCUUUAUUUUUCCUUCCCCCUUUGUUUUAAAAGCCGAAGCGUUUCUGGAAACUCAGCCGAAAACUGCUGGCUCGGGCAGCUGGCUGCAUUCCCGUUCCUUCCUUUCACCUCGGCACCUUCGGGAUUAAUCCGGCGCCCCGGCCCGAGACCUCUCGGCCCGAGACGCCCCGUGCGCCGUGCGGGGAUGGCCGGUCUCACGCACCCGCGUGCUCCUUGCCGCCUCUCCGUAGGCAGCCGCCGGGCAAAGCUCCCCUGUAAACAGGCUGUCAGGAUUAAUUGAGCUGACCCAUUAAAAAAAAAAACAAAAACCAAGUUCUCUGCAAUAAAUAAAGUAGUGGCACCUCGGUGCUCCCCGCGGCAGGGAGCCAGCCGGCCCGGUCCUCGCGGCUCGGCCGCGGGAGCCGUCGCUGCCCGCGGGGCACCGGCUACGCUCGCCCUGCGGCCCGUCUUCCCGCGUUACUUCUCCUGCCACGAACUCACCCGUUUCACUGCAAAUCAGGCUGAUUUGCUGAAACUGUUGUUUUCCGCCCUGCGCUUGUCGGCACAAUUAAAUCAGGGCCCCGCUGACAGCCGCGGCGAGGAGUGGCCACGUGAGAAGCUGCCGUGUGCUGGCUCGGGCGCCCGCAGGGAACUGGUGAGCCCACUUUCCACGUGGAUCGGUGCCAGGUGCCCGGGCGGGCAGCGGCGGCACUGGGACACAGCCGGGACCCCAGUGACUCGCUCCCUGCCUCGGUUUCCCCAGCCGCGGAGGGAGAGCGAGGGCUCAGCACGGUGCGAGCGGCGCCGAGCACCUCGCCGUCCUCCCUGCUGCUGCGGCACGUGCCCCACGGUGCAAUCGGGGUCUCUCGGCACCAGGCUUUCCCGCAUGCCAGACUUGUGUUUUCUCACCCAAUUUCGGCACCGGCGUGCCUGCUGGGCUCAUUGCGGGUCUGGUACUCUUGGACGCCCUCCUCCCGCGCGGGCGUGCCGCAAGUCGGGGCCAUCAGCGCUUAUUUAGCCUUAUGCACUGGGCACUUGGCUGUUACGUGGCUAUAAAUCCUCCUUUAAUACGGUUUGGGUAUUUACUGAGCACGGUAACUAUUGCAUUAAAUCUAAAUUAUAUGGGUGUUUUGGA